UGCAACGCGAAAACCUUACCUACCCUUGACAUGGCAGGAAUCCCGAAGAGAUUGGGAGUGCUCGAAAGAGAACCUGCACACAGGUGCUGCAUGGCUGUCGUCAGCUCGUGUCGUGAGAUGUUGGGUUAAGUCCCGCAACGAGCGCAACCCUUGCCAUUAGUUGCUACGAAAGGGCACUCUAAUGGGACUGCCGGUGACAAACCGGAGGAAGGUGGGGAUGACGUCAAGUCCUCAUGGCCCUUAUAGGUGGGGCUACACACGUCAUACAAUGGCCGGUACAGAGGGUAGCCAACCCGCGAGGGGGAGCCAAUCCCACAAAGCCGGUCGUAGUCCGGAUCGCAGUCUGCAACUCGACUGCGUGAAGUCGGAAUCGCUAGUAAUCGUGGAUCAGCAUGUCACGGUGAAUACGUUCCCGGGUCUU
rnacentral:rRNA from 1 species